rnacentral:lncRNA from 1 species
AUGUUUCUUUCGUUUCUUUCUUUUUCUUUUCUUUCUUUUUUUUUUUUUUCCUCUGUAUGUUCCAUCUUCCAAGACCUGAGCUCAGCUCCUCCAAGGCCCAUGUGAUCCCAGCUCCUUUAUGAAUAACGGAAAGGCCUUUAGUGCCUCAUGUGCCCAGGUGUUCUGACUCAUGAAGCCCACAUGUCACACCCACUUGCACAAAAGUGCAAUCCCAGUGAAAACACAACCCACUCGAACCUAGUUUUGCAGCCAUUUGAGUUUUCUCAACCGGUAGGAGGGAUGUUUCUUACUGGCUUGCUUCCUUCCCCUGGCUUUCUCAGCUUGCUCUCUUAAAGAACCCAAGACUACCAGCCCAGGGAUGGCACCACCCACAAUGGGCCCUCCCCACUUGAUCACUAAUUGAGAAAAAUGCCUUACAGCUGGAUCUCGUGGAGGCAUUUCCCCAACUGAAGCUCCUUUCUCUGUGAUAACUCCAGCCUGUGACAAGUUGACACACAGAACCAGCCAGUACGAUGCCCAUCAUGAUAAUUACAGUCACUUUGCCUUUGGUGACUCAUUGCUGCCACUGACCCGACUACCAAAUAAACCCAUUGCAUUUCAUUCAUCCAGCAGAGAGCAGUCUCUCUAACAGCAAGGCUGUCACAAGGAAUAGGGAUGACAGCAAAGCUUGUCAGAUGUGCCAGUGCCCCUCUCACCAGUUUGCAUCUUACAGGAGUAAUAAAGGGCGUGUCUUCUGGGCCUUCCCAUUGAGGAGGAUUAGGUUUUACACAGUGUAGCUACUCUAGCAUUGCAACUUCCCUACGCCUUAAAAUCCCUUCAACUCUAAGCCAAGGGAUAUCAGGCAUUUCCAGCUCCCUUUCAAUAGACCAUCUUUGGAUAAAUGCUCAGCAGCCAUUCAAACAAACUUGACAACUUUUUAAAAUAAACUGUGAGAGCUUCCAUAUUAUACCCAGGAUCUCUAUUUAGUGGCUUAUGUCAAUAAACUCAGCCUAAUCCAGUUUCAUGUUCCUUUCACCAUUAUCCUAUACCCUUAAAACCCAUUCCCACAUGUAUUCUCCAGACUUAUGCUAGAACAAAUUAGCAAAGUCAUUAACUCUUUAGUAGUAUAACAUACCUCCUCAUGGGCUACACUUUCUAUCCCUCUUACCAGGAGCCUGCUUAGUUUUCAGUCUGGUUAUAGGUCUAGAAGCAACUGUUUUUGAACCCCAAGGGCAGUGCUUUCUAGCCUGGCAUCUCCUCCAAAGAAAAUCACUGCCGGUUUAACAGACAAUGAAGAAUUGAUUUCCUCAGUCAAAGAUGAAAUAGGUACUGUCUCAGGGGAUAGGGUUGUGAGUACAUCUUCUGUUGAGGAUGGAGAGACUACUUUCUCUGGUGAGAUAAACCCUUGAGAAUCUGAGGGCUCAAAGGUCUCAGCUUCAAUAGGGACUUCUCAAGAUAUCUCCAUCCCCAGUUAUAGGAUCCUAUUCUUUACUAAUUAAUGCUGGUUGAACACUAACACCCUCAUAGGCUGGGACUUGAAUUUUUGCUGUAAUUCAGACAAUCUUAUAAUGAGGGCUUUGGUUUGAUCUUUGCAAUUUAAGCUCUGUGGCUACUGGAGAGAAGAUUCUUUUUCAGGGCAUGCAUGCAUGAAUAUAUAUGUGUAUAUACAUAUGCAUAUAUAUGUAUAUAUAUGUGUGUGUAAUAUUACAUUCUACAUGUAUAUGCAUAUAUAUACACAUAUAUACACACAUACAUAUCUGUGCUAUGUACAUAUGGGAUUCAUUAAUUAGAAUAUAGGUUAUUCUAUAGGCUUAUUAUAUAGGCUUAUAGGUUGUGGUACAUCUAAUCUAGAAGGUAUUCAGUCCAUCAGAAUAGAUGCCUUAGUUGGUCUUCAGUAUGUGCUGGAAUCCAGAAGAAGUAGGCUCCAGGGCUACUGAAGGAAUGGAUUUGCCAGGCAAAAUGAGAGCAAGCUUCCUUCCUCUGAGUCCUUUAAAUAAGCUUCCAGCAGAAGGUGUGGCCUUAAUCUUUUAAUCUUUAUCUUUCCACUUUCAAUGAUUUAAUUUAGGAAAAAGUCCCUGACAGGUGUGUCUAGAUACUUAGGUUUUAGUUCUUUUCAGAUGUGGUCAAGUUGACAGCCAAGAAUGGCCAUCACAAAAACCAAACAAAAUGCAAACUAAACAAUCAAGGAAGCAUAUUUGCUAAACUAUACAAGGGCAACUAGGGAGAUGCUUCAGUGGUUAAGAACAGUAACUCUCUUGCAGAUGACUUGGGUUUAGUUCCCUGCACGCACAUAGCAGCUUACAAGUACUGUCUGUAACCCCACUUCUAAGGGAUCCAAAGUCCUCUUCUAACUUUCCUGGGCAUCAAGCACUCAUGUGGUGCACAUACAUACAUAUAGGCAAAGCACUCAAAAUAAAAUAAAUAAAUCUAAUUCCACAAAACCAUACAAGGAUAGAUUAAUAACCUAACUUCAUAAAGUUCUUCAGCUCUCUAUUCAUACAACAGAAAUACUUGAAAAGGCCUUUCUUCCUCCCAGCCCAUCAGGGCCCUCCCUACCUUAGGUAUUUAAUUAAUCUAGAGUUAUGUAUUUAUUAGUUUCCAGGCACUUAAAUGUGCAGCCAGAAUUGAGGACUACUGAACUGGUCCCGAGAUCAAGACCAUUCCUGAUUUAUCCAGCACUGUAGUGUUAGCCCUUAUCAUUGGAGCAACUCAAACAUGGUAAGUGCUCAUAUGUGUGUUGACUAUUUCCUAAGUCCCUCAAUUUUCAGAUGUACAAGACUUCAGAGGUCAUUUGGGUAGGGGCUCUCAGGCUAACCGGCAAGUAGAACGGUGAAGCCCAGAUUUCUUAUCUUAUAGCUUUAGUUUUGGCCACCUUCCUUUGUACAUUUGCCUUCUUAAUUCUUAUAUUGUUCAAUGUCUGACUUCUACCCCAUUUCCUACUCCACACUGAAAAGGGAGGAAUGUGUCUUAGAUGCUUAGACAGAUAGCAGGCAGGACUGUGUUGCAGUCUCAGCCUGUGUUCUCUGUCGGCCCACCUCUAAGUCAAGUGUAAGUGGGGGAGAGGGAAAGGAGGCGAAGAAAUAUGCAACUGAAAUUCCAUAAAUAAAUAGAUUCCAUAAACUAAAGGCUCUAUUUUUAUUUUUUAAUUGCAUGUAUGUAUAUAAGUAUGUACGUUCUGUUCCCUGUGGAGGCUAUGGGCAUCAGAUCCCUCUGGAGCUGGAGUUAGUUACAGGUGGUUGUGAGCUGCCCAGUGUGGGUACUGGAAACUGAGCUUAGUCCUUGAGUCCUCUGCAAGAAUAGUUAACACUUUAACUGCUGAGUCAUCUCUCUAGCUCCCUCUUCCUCUUCUUCCCUCUUCCCCAUCUUUAAUGGAGCUCUCCAUCCCCAUUUCAGCAGUAAAGCAAUCGGGUUUUAGAAUACUUGACAUAUUUUAUUUUUAUAUUGUUUAUUUUAAUUAGGAUCUCAUGACUUUCUGUUAAGGUGAUUCCAGGUCCAUCUUCCCAUAUCCCAGUUGCUUUAUCCACUCCACUCUUGACUUGUGUAUAAGCUCCCCAGAAAAGCUCCAAAGAUGGUGGAGACCAAAUAGGAAAAGCUAUAAUGAAUUAUAAAGGAUAAUGUAAGGAAAUUGUCCCCUAAUUCAAUGUGUGUGUGUUUGUCCUCUGACUUCCUUUUAAAGAAUUGGAUUAUAAAAGUGAUAUAUUCUGUUUGGACCAGUCUAGUAACAACAAGG